ensembl:lncRNA
GGAGAACUGGGUUUGAUCCCUGGGUUGAGAAGAUCCCCUGAAGGAGGGCAUGGCAACCUACUCCAGCAUUCUUGCCUGGAGAAUCCCUAUGGACAGAGGAGCCUGGCUGACUACAGUCCAUGAGGUCACAAAGAGUUGGACACAGCUAAGCGACUAAGCAUAGCACAGCUUAGAUUAGAGGUCCCAAGACCUGCAGCAUCAGUAUCAUUAGGAAAGAUAUUCGAUAUGCAAGUUAUCAGGACACAGCCCAGCCUAUUGAAUCAGGAGCUCCUUAGGAUGGGCCCAUGCAUCUUUGUGUUAAGACCACUAGGAAGUUGUGAUGCCCACUCAAGUUUGAGAGCCACUGGUGGACAUCGUCCUCAGCUGUGGUUUUGGUCCAUUUCAACCACAGCCUGGGAUUCAAGCCAAAUGAGCAGCGUCUCUCUGGAGAAUGGACAGCAGACAGAACAAGGCAACCACACACUGGCCCUUAGAAGCCUCUUAGAAGUGAUACAUGUCAGUUCACUCGUGCCAAAAGAGGAGUGCUGAGGUCAACCGAGUUCUCGCUCCAGAUCACACAGAUGAAGAAUAGAAGAGCAG